UGAACGCUGGCGGCGUGCCUAAUACAUGCAAGUCGAACGAGUUCUCGUUGAUGAUCGGUGCUUGCACCGAGAUUCAACAUGGAACGAGUGGCGGACGGGUGAGUAACACGUGGGUAACCUGCCCUUAAGUGGGGGAUAACAUUUGGAAACAGAUGCUAAUACCGCAUAGAUCCAAGAACCGCAUGGUUCUUGGCUGAAAGAUGGCGUAAGCUAUCGCUUUUGGAUGGACCCGCGGCGUAUUAGCUAGUUGGUGAGGUAAUGGCUCACCAAGGCGAUGAUACGUAGCCGAACUGAGAGGUUGAUCGGCCACAUUGGGACUGAGACACGGCCCAAACUCCUACGGGAGGCAGCAGUAGGGAAUCUUCCACAAUGGACGCAAGUCUGAUGGAGCAACGCCGCGUGAGUGAAGAAGGCUUUCGGGUCGUAAAACUCUGUUGUUGGAGAAGAAUGGUCGGCAGAGUAACUGUUGUCGGCGUGACGGUAUCCAACCAGAAAGCCACGGCUAACUACGUGCCAGCAGCCGCGGUAAUACGUAGGUGGCAAGCGUUAUCCGGAUUUAUUGGGCGUAAAGCGAGCGCAGGCGGUUUUUUAAGUCUGAUGUGAAAGCCCUCGGCUUAACCGAGGAAGCGCAUCGGAAACUGGGAAACUUGAGUGCAGAAGAGGACAGUGGAACUCCAUGUGUAGCGGUGAAAUGCGUAGAUAUAUGGAAGAACACCAGUGGCGAAGGCGGCUGUCUGGUCUGUAACUGACGCUGAGGCUCGAAAGCAUGGGGUAGCGAACAGGAUUAGAUACCCCUGGGUAGUC
rnacentral:rRNA from 1 species